GAUAUUUGAGGAUCUGUAAUCACUGGAGAAUAGCCUACCAAAUGCAGUGAUCUUGGAUCAUUGGUGAUCAGAUCAUCACAGGAUUUGGAUCACCAAUGAUCUUAGAUCACCAUGGCGUUCCCAUUUGGGUCAUCAAAUGUUACCUUAUUAAUCUUGCAAUAAUUGUUGAUGGAGGAUAAACUAUUGCAGCGCCAGAUAUCUAAGUGCAAGGAGUACCCAUCCUACC
rnacentral:lncRNA from 1 species